GCAGAGGGUGCAAAAUAUUAAACCUUGGAAGCACUGCAGAAAAGGGUAAACUUGAAAACCCUGAAAAAUAGAGGCAAAAAUAAUUCUUAACUGCUCAUGGCAUUGGACUUGAUCAUGAAGAAGGGAAAUGACAAGCACUGGUGCUCCGAGACAGAAGCACAGGAUUCAGAUGUGUUUAUGCAGGAAGAUUUGCUCCUUGAGACCUCUGCCAUCACUGUCAGAAAAAGCUAUCCUCAGUAAUUGCUGUAUCGUCAGCCAGAUUCUGAGUCAACACAAGUAGUACAGACUGAAUCAAAUUCAAUAAGGAGCCAAGCCCAGCUAGAACCACACUUGAAGUAUUGCUCUCUAACUAAACACAGCUAGAUCAACUCAACCACAGAUAUAAACACAAAGGACUUACUCCAGUGAAGAUAAUCCUUGGCCCUUUAAAUAUUCAAGGUAGCCAAUAACUGUCUCUUGAGAGAAGUGGAGAAGAAUGAAAACCUCUCCCCAGGAAGUCCUCUUUCACGUCUGAUUUGCCAAGGGAGCUGUCCUGGAUGCACUCCUGCUUGGCUCUGUCUGCAGGAGCUGAACUGAAGGGGGGCGGGUAUGAUUCAGGGCUGCACUUGCUCCAAACUAAUUUAACCAAGAGAACUAUUUUUUUUUUUACUAUGAAGGGAAAAUAGCCUGAUAAUAAAAGUUAAAAACAAUGUACAGAAAUAUAUCUACACAAUGUGUAUUUGG